UACGAAGGGAGCUAGCGUUGUUCGGAAUCACUGGGCGUAAAGCGCACGUAGGCGGAUUGCUAAGUCAGGGGUGAAAUCCUGGAGCUCAACUCCAGAACUGCCUUUGAUACUGGCGACCUUGAGUCCGGGAGAGGUGAGUGGAACUGCGAGUGUAGAGGUGAAAUUCGUAGAUAUUCGCAAGAACACCAGUGGCGAAGGCGGCUUACUGGUCCGGUUCUGACGCUGAGGCGCGAAAGCGUGGGGAGCAAACAGG
rnacentral:rRNA from 1 species